GGGCUGGUAGAUCAGUGGAAGAUUGCCACCUUCGCAAGGUGGAGGCCGUGGGUUCAAAUCCCACCCAGUCCA
rnacentral:tRNA from 1 species